rnacentral:tRNA from 5 species
GCGAGGGUUGCCCAGCCAGGUCAAAGGCGCUAGAUUCAGGGUCUAGUCUCGUAGGAGUUCGUGCGUUCGAAUCGCACCCCUCGCA